ACCGGUGUUAAACGUGGGAUUUUUACGAUUGGUAAGAGCCCUUACGUGUCAUUAUCUUAAUGGAUCUCCCAUUUAUCUCUCUCUCUUUCGUCGGAGUCUCUUGCCGAAAUCAGUUUGGUCUCUUCCUCGACUUUCUCUCUUCCUCCUCCAAUCUGGAUCAAUCGACUUUCUCUCUCGAUUCUGUCUCAAUCCAAUCUUUGUCGGCUAUCCAAUCACGAUCACUCCAUCUUCUCUGUCUGGAUUCAAAGACGAUUUUGGUUUGUUUCACCCAUAAAAACGAUUCAAAGACGAUCCAGUUUGUUUAUGGUUUUGUUCUUCACCUCUCCGCUUUUUUUUUUCACUGAGCCGGUGUACCAUGAAUGGGGGUUCUGGAGAAGAUUCGGUUACCAGUACAUGGCCGGUUUCACGGCUCGUUGGAAGUGCUACUUCAUAUGGUCGAUCUCAGAGGCUUCCAUCAUCAUCUCCGGUUUGGGUUUCAGUGGCUGGACCGACGAGAACACUCAAACAAAGGCGAAAUGGGACCUUGCAAAGAACGUUGAUAUACUAGGUGUGCUAAGAGUGCAGUUCAGAUUCCUCUUGUGUGGAACAUACAAGUCAGCACUUGGCUCCGUCACUAUGUGUAUGAAAGAAUUGUGAAGCAUGGGAAGAAAGCUGGUUUCUUCCAGUUGCUAGCUACUCAAACCGUUAGUGCCGUGUGGCAUGGACUGUAUCCUGGCUACAUUAUAUGCUUUGUUCAAUCAGCAUUGAUGAUCGAUGGUUCAAAAGAACUUUGUGAGAGAUCAUACGUGCUUAUAUCCAUAUCUAUGUGCCUGAUCACCCAACAUACAAAGCUGUUAAGAAAAAUUGUGUAUGGACACAGUAAUUGACACGUUUUUCUUGGCUUACAUCACUGGAUGGUGGAGAAAGCAAAUUGGAUCAGGAAUCAACCACGUAUGCGGGUGCUUUUGAUUGAUUUGCAGUUAUUGGAAGUUGGUCUUUUGUCUUCGUUCCUUUAUGUUUUUCUCAUGCGUUACCACUAAUACUAUUUAUAUUUAUGUUCUCCAGCUUAAUUUUAGGCACAUAUUUCCAAAUUUAAAUGAAUUCUGGUGAGAGAGUAUUGUUCUGAAUAUCUUGAUAUGCAAUUGAUUUGGCAUGAUCCCUGAAAAACCUUGUCAUCCUAUGUCUUAAAUCUAAGUUGCUACAUAGAAUUGAGUUAUAUCUUAUACUUUUUAAUGUAGGGAUUUGGGCUGGCAUGUAUAGAGUACGCCACUUUGAUGGUCAAACAUACGAAUUUGUGUUCACACAUGACCUAGCUAUCGUAUGUUUGAUGCGAAUAUUGAGCUUUUUUUAGAUGGAAAGGGCAUUGGCGCAGUUCACGCCAACUCAUUGAGACAAAGACGAGUGGAAUCCACUGCAAGGCGCUUGGCGUUUUAUUCAAGGUAGCACUCUUUGGAUCAUCUUCUUGACAUUGGAGUUGAAUACAAUCUUGCUCAAGUUUAACAUGUGCUUCCCUUCUUGAAAACAAAUGAGUCUCUUUUGUGGUGGCACGUAGUGGAAGCAACAACACAGGAAUACAAUUCAUAUCUCCAAGACCAGUAUAGAUAUUAGCCAGUGUGGUGUUGGUUGAGAUAUGGUUUUAGCAAGAAUGCAGUGAGUAACAUAACUCAAAGACUGAGGCACGGGGACUCCAAACAAUGUGGGAUGGAACUUGGGAAAGAUGCACGUGGCUUAAUUCAUCAAACACUGUGACGGUUGUGGUCAUCUGCUUCUCCUCAGUUCCGACAGACCUCAAUAACCGCAGAGGAUGGUGAAAGUUCUGUGUUUCUGAUGAAGCUCGAGCUCAGUUACGAGCGAUGCUUGAAGGGGCUGAAACCAGUCUUUUUGGCAGUAUAUAUAAAGAGGGGUAUCGACAUAUCGAGACGGAGUGGUGAACCGAGGCGGGAUAUUGGAAAUAUGAUGAAGUCUGGAGAAUGUUGUUCAACUGGUGAACUGAGAUUUGAGAGGGUUGGUGGAUGUAAGAUAAAGCUCGGUAAAUGUAAAACAAGAUUCUAAUGAUUUUAAUACACUUACACAUUAUUUUUACAACAAUCAUAUAUAGUUUAUAGUAUGUGCUUUCUAGGAUCAA